UAGGAAUAUCGAUUAUAGACGAAGAAGUGGAGAAAAUAUUGGAGACUCGGAAUUUACGUUUAAAUCCAGCCAACUUAAACGCAAUUUACAAGGUUGAAAGUUUGUCCGAGUACUUCAACAAUAUUAUCAUACAGAAUAUUUAUG